rnacentral:rRNA from 1 species
CAGCCGCCGCGGUAAUACCGGCAGCACGAGUGAUAGCCACUAUUAUUGGGCCUAAAGCGUCCGUAGCCGGCUACACAGGUCCGUCGGGAAAUCCACCCGCUCAACGGGUGGGCGUCCGGCGGAAACCAGGUAGCUUGGGGCCGGAAGACCAGAGGGGUACGUCCGGGGUAGGAGUGAAAUCCUGUAAUCCUGGACGGACCACCGGUUGCGAAAGCGCCUCUGGAGGACGGACCCGACGGUGAGGGACGAAAGCUUGGGUCUCGAACCGGAUUAGAUACCCGGGUAGUCCAAGCUGUAAACGAUGCUCGCUAGGUGCGGCGCAGGCUACGAGCCUGCGCUGUGCCGUAGGGAAGCCGAGAAGCGAGCCGCCUGGGAAGUACGUCCGCAAGGAUGAAACUUAAGGGAAUUGGCGGGGGAGCAC